UUGCAACAGUAUGACAUAUUUGAGGCAGCUUAUUCAAUUUGACAUAACCAUAAAACACAGUGCCUCAGUUUAGUAUACGUUAUCAGCAACGAGGUACAACAACAUAAUGUUGGAUCCGCAUAUGAUAGCACGUUUUUAAGUGACGUGAAAUUUAUUUUGCAGAAUACGGAUAGCAAUGGCACAUGGCCUCGGGCGCCUUUCAGCACCACCAUAACAUUUGGUGCAGAUUGCUCGCGAACCACGCGUCCUGCGACGAUUGGAACGGCAAAUUUUCGAUCAACAUCUAGUUUCUUUAGAUUGGCAUAAAAACAACACAAACAGAAUCGAGUGAUGUCUCAUCAAGAAACAGGCUUUCAACAGCCUUACCUUGGAAUUACCUGGAGCCGAGAAGUGCACGUGCGCUUUAGUCACAUAAGCUGUCGUUGGUGACGACUGAAUAUCCGGUGGCGCAGACCGCACGAGCCCUGGCAUUCCGGUCACAUACACACCGGCGACAUCGGGGAUCAGACCGCACGCGCCGAAACGCGCCGGGAUCCGGCAAACGGCUGCAGACGGGGCACCACCGCAUUAUUGGCGUGAAGCCUCCAGGCACGGAGAGGUGCACCUGCUCACCUGCGCCCACGGACGAGGCGCUGCUCCCCAG